rnacentral:rRNA from 1 species
CCCAGACUCCUACGGGAGGCAGCAGUGGGGAAUAUUGGGCAAUGGGCGCAAGCCUGACCCAGCAACGCCGCGUGAAGGAAGAAGGCUUUCGGGUUGUAAACUUCUUUUGUCAGGGACGAAGCAAGUGACGGUACCUGACGAAUAAGCCACGGCUAACUACGUGCCAGCAGCCGCGGUAAUACGUAGGUGGCAAGCGUUGUCCGGAUUUACUGGGUGUAAAGGGCGUGUAGCCGGGCUGACAAGUCAGAUGUGAAAUCCGGGGGCUCAACCCCCGAACUGCAUUUGAAACUGUUGGUCUUGAGUAUCGGAGAGGCAGGCGGAAUUCCUAGUGUAGCGGUGAAAUGCGUAGAUAUUAGGAGGGACACCAGUGGCGAAGGCGGCCUGCUGGACGACAACUGACGGUGAGGCGCGAAAGCGUGGGGAGCAAACAGGAUUAGAUACCCGAGUAUU